UUUAAGCAUAUUAUUAAGCGGAGGAAGAGAAAAUAACUAUGAUUCCCUUAGUAACGGCGAGUGAAGAGGGAGGUGCUCAAAGUGAUAAUCGUGAUACCUCUUAUGGUACCUCGAGUUGUAGCCUCUAGAGGCGUUACCAGUG
rnacentral:rRNA from 1 species